UGAGCCGCGGUGGCCUAAUGGUCAGCGCGAUGGACUCCGGAUGGAGUGAUCCGGGUUCGAACCCUGGGUACUUAA